GAUGAACGCUGGCGGCGUGCCUAAUACAUGCAAGUCGAGCGAACAGACCAGGAGCUUGCUCCUCGGACGUUAGCGGCGGACGGGUGAGUAACACGUGGAUAACCUACCUAUAAGACGGGUAUAACUUCGGGAAACCGGAUCUAAUACCGGAUAAUAUCUUGAACCGCAGGGGGCAAUAGUGAAAUACGGUUUUGCUGGCUGGUAUCGAUGGAUCCGCGCCGCUUUAGCUAGUUGUUAAGUUAACGGGUUACCAAGGGGAGGAUGCGUUGACGAACUGAGGGGCUGGUCGGCCACACUGGAGCGGGACCAGGGUCCAGGCGCCUACGGGAGGCAGCAGUAGGGAAUCUUCCGCAAUGGGCGAAAGCCUGACGGAGCAACGCCGCGUGAGUGAUGAAGGCCUUCGGAUCGUAAAGCUCUGUAAUUAGGGAAGAACAAAUGUGUAAGUAACUAUGCACGUCUUGACGGUACCUAAUCAGAAAGCCACGGCUAACUACGUG
rnacentral:rRNA from 1 species